rnacentral:rRNA from 1 species
UACAGAGGGUGCAAGCGUUAAUCGGAAUUACUGGGCGUAAAGCGUGCGCAGGCGGUGAUGUAAGACAGUUGUGAAAUCCCCGGGCUCAACCUGGGAACUGCAUCUGUGACUGCAUCGCUGGAGUGCGGCAGAGGGGGAUGGAAUUCCGCGUGUAGCAGUGAAAUGCGUAGAUAUGCGGAGGAACACCGAUGGCGAAGGCAAUCCCCUGGGCCUGCACUGACGCUCAUGCACGAAAGCGUGGGGAGCAAACAGG